GAUGAACGCUAGCGGCAGGCUUAAUACAUGCAAGUCGAGGGGCAGCAUGACUGUAGCAAUACAGUUGAUGGCGACCGGCAAACGGGUGCGGAACACGUACAGAACCUUCCUUCGAGCGGGGAAUAGCCCAGAGAAAUUUGGAUUAAUACCCCAUAGUAUAGCGGAGUGGCAUCACUCUGUUAUUAAAGAUUUAUCACUUGAAGAUGGCUGUGCGGCUGAUUAGGUAGUUGGCGGGGUAACGGCCCACCAAGCCUGCGAUCAGUAACUGGUGUGAGAGCGCGACCAGUCACACGGGCACUGAGACACGGGCCCGACGCCUACGGGAGGCAGCAGUAAGGAAUAUUGGUCAAUGGACGAAAGUCUGAACCAGCCAUGCCGCGUGGAGGAUGAAGGUCCUCUGGAUUGUAAACUUCUUUUAUAUGGGACGAAAAAAGGCUUUUCUAGGUCGUCUGACGGUACCAUAUGAAUAAGCACCGGCUAACUCCGUGCCAGCCGCCGCCGUAAUAC
rnacentral:rRNA from 1 species